AUGUUGGAUGCAGAGAGACACUUUCAACAUAAGUUCUAAGUUAGCUUAGUACGGAAUGAGUGGCUUCAAGAAAGCAAAAUACAUCGAAGGAGAUAAAGUGUUGCAGGAUUCUUCAAAGCCUGGUCCCGUUUUGACUAGAGAACCUUGAUCCACUAAAAGAGAUGUUACAUGGAAGAUUCUUGGUCUCCUCAGGCUCAUAGUGUCAUUUCUUCAACUUUGAAUUGCUGAAGUAUGAGAAUUGAUAAAUGAAACCAUCUUAAAAUGCACAUAUGGGACCCUCAUAGACAUAUUUGGUUGAGCCAUGCUGGGCAGCUGGCAAUAUACU
rnacentral:lncRNA from 1 species